CCUGACACACAUACCAUUGAUGUCACAACUAUCAUAAUAUGUGUUGUAGUCUCUCUUUUCAUUGUAUUCAUCGGAAGUGUCUUGAACUUUCUCAUCUGGAGGCGGAAUGGGAAUAAAGCUAAGGAAAGCAGACGAGUCGGACAAAAAAUUAAUUUAAACGAACUGUCAGCUGUACACCUUGCAGAUCAAAAUAUCGAGAGAGAUAAGACUACCUCACCUUAUACAGAACUUGGUACCCUGAACAAAUCUGACACUUACGAGGAUCUUCACAUCUGUGCUGACCGUGAAGAGAAGAAUUGAUAAAGUUUACGU